rnacentral:lncRNA from 1 species
AAAUAUUUUUACAUUGAAAAUGGCCAGGUUGGUUACGUUGCCUUUGAUAGCGUAUGGUAGCCCAGGAAUGAGAAUUACCCCCAUGAUGGCAUACCAUUUGCAAAAGAAGACAACCCAAGGCAUUGCAAAUGGGGUAUGUCCAGUCUUUUUUAGUAACCACUUAGUCACAAACACUGGCCAAAAUUAGCGUUCAAUUUCGUUUUUUUACUUUUUUCACACACAAACAAAUAUGAAUGCUUACUUUGGCCAGUGUUUUCAACUAAGUGGCU